AGUGGAUGGGGAGCAACCUAGUUGUGCGUGUGUAAAGGUAGUGCCAAGAAAAGCGGUGAUCAUGAUGAAAAUCAAUUCCCGGUACCCGAAACCGACACAGGUGGGCAAGUAGAGAAUACUAAGGGGCGCGAGGUAACUCUCUCCAAGGAACUCGGCAAAAUGACCCCGUAACUUAGGGAGAAGGGGUGCCACCGAGAGGUGGUCGCAGUGAAGAGGCCCAGGCGACUGUUUAGCAAAAACAUAGGUCUCUGCAAACUCGAAAGAGGAGGUAUAGGGGCUGACGCCUGCCCAGUGCCGGAAGGUUAAAGAAGUUGGUCAGUCUUAGGAUAAAGCUAGCGACUGAAGCCCCGGUGAACGGCGGCCGUAACUAUAACGGUCCUAAGGUAGCGAAAUUCCUUGUCGGGUAAGUUCCGACCCGCACGAAAGGCGUAACGAUCUGGGCGCUGUCUCGGAGAGAGGCUCGGCGAAAUAGGAUUGUCUGUGAAGAUACGGACUACCUGCAUUUGGACAGAAAGACCCUAUGAAGCUUUACUAUAGCUUGGAAUUGUGUUCGGGCUUCCUGUGCGCAGGAUAGGUGGGAGGCGAAGAAGGUAUUCUUGUGGGGAUACUGGAGCCAACGGUGAGAUACCACUCUCAGGAGGCUAGAAUUCUAACUUAAUUAAGGACAGUUUCAGGUGGGUAGUUUGACUGGGGCGGUCGCCUCCAAAAAGGUAACGGAGGCGUACAAAGGUUCCCUCAGACUGGUUGGAAAUCAGUCGCAGAGUGCAAAGGCAGAAGGGAGCUUGACUGCGAGAAGUACAGUUCGAGCAGGGUGGAAACACGGUCUUAGUGAUCCGACGGUGCUGUGUGGAAGGGCCGUCGCUCAACGGAUAAAAGUUACUCUAGGAUAACAGGCUGAUCUCCCCCAAGAGUUCACAUCGACGGGGAGGUUUGGCACCUCGAUGUCGGCUCAUCGCAACCUGGGGCGGAAGUACGUCCCAAGGGUUGGGCUGUUCGCCCAUUAAAGCGGUACGUGAGCUGGGUUCAGAACGUCGUGAGACAGUUCGGUCCAUAUCCGAUGUAGGCGUGAGAAUAUUGAGAGGAGCCUUCCUUAGUACGAGAGGACCGGGAAGGACGCACCGCUGGUGUACCUGUUAUGGUGCCAAUUGUAAACGCAGGGUAGCCAAGUGCGGAGAGGAUAACCGCUGAAAGCAUCUAAGUGGGAAGCCCACCUCAAGAUGAGUAUUCUGGUGUAAGGUCACGGGAAGACGACCCGUAAAUAGGCACGAGGUGGAAGUGCAGAGAUGUAUGAAGCCGAAGUGUACUAAUAGACCAUCGGCUUGACC
rnacentral:rRNA from 1 species